rnacentral:tRNA from 1 species
GCCUCAGUGGUCUAGUAGAUAAGGCACUAGCUUCCUAAGCCAUGGGAUUGUGGGUUCGGGUUCCAUCUGGGGAG